GGUGCUUUAGCUCAGGUGGUAGAGCAUCGGACUGAAAAUCCGUGUGUCCUUGGUUCGACUCCAAGAAGCACCA
rfam:Prevotella bivia DSM 20514 genomic scaffold Prebiscaffold_3, whole genome shotgun sequence.